rnacentral:sRNA from 1 species
UGAAGGCCUCCCCCGUCGCCGCGCGGCUUCCCGGAGCCGAGUGCAGACUCCCUCAGCCCGGUGUUCCCCGCGUCCGGACGCCGAGGUCGCGUCUUCGCAGAAACUCGGGCCCCUCCAUCCGCCCUCAGAAAAGGGAGCGAUGUUGAUCUCAGGAAGCACAAAGGGACCUUUCUAGCUCUGACUGAACCACGGAGCUCACCCUGAACAGUAUCACUCUGUGGAGGAAGACUGUGAGACUGUGGCUGGAAGCCAGAUUGUAGCCACACAUCCGCCCCUGCCCUACCCCAGAGCCCUGGAGCAGCAACUGGCUGCAGAUCACAAACACAGUGAGGAUAUGAGUGUAGGGGUGAGCACCUCAGCCCCUCUUUCCCCAACCUCGGGCACAAGCGUGGGCAUGUCCACCUUCUCCAUCGUGGACUAUGUGGUGUUCGUCCUGCUGCUGGUUCUCUCUCUUGCCAUUGGGCUCUACCAUGCUUGUCGUGGCUGGGGCCGGCAUACUGUUGGUGAGCUGCUGAUGGCAGACCGCAAAAUGGGCUGCCUUCCGGUGGCACUAUCCCUGCUGGCCACCUUCCAGUCAGCCGUGGCCAUCCUGGGUGUGCCAUCAGAGAUCUACCGAUUUGGGACCCAGUAUUGGUUCCUGGGCUGCUGCUACUUUCUGGGGCUGCUGAUACCUGCACACAUCUUCAUCCCUGUUUUCUACCGCUUGCAUCUCACCAGUGCCUAUGAGUACCUGGAGCUUCGAUUCAAUAAAACUGUGCGAGUGUGUGGAACUGUGACCUUCAUCUUUCAGAUGGUGAUCUACAUGGGAGUUGUGCUCUAUGCUCCGUCAUUGGCUCUCAAUGCAGUGACUGGCUUUGAUCUGUGGCUGUCCGUGCUGGCCCUAGGCAUUGUCUGUACCGUCUAUACAGCCCUGGGUGGGCUGAAAGCCGUCAUCUGGACAGAUGUGUUCCAGACACUGGUCAUGUUUCUCGGGCAGCUGGCAGUUAUCAUCGUGGGGUCAGCCAAGGUGGGCGGCUUGGGGCGUGUGUGGGCCGUGGCUUCCCAGCACGGCCGCAUCUCUGGGUUUGAGCUGGAUCCAGACCCCUUUGUGCGGCACACCUUCUGGACCUUGGCCUUUGGGGGUGUCUUCAUGAUGCUCUCCUUAUACGGGGUGAACCAGGCUCAGGUGCAGCGGUACCUCAGUUCCCGCACGGAGAAGGCUGCUGUGCUCUCCUGUUAUGCAGUGUUCCCCUUCCAGCAGGUGUCCCUCUGCGUGGGCUGCCUCAUUGGCCUGGUCAUGUUCGCGUAUUACCAGGAGUAUCCCAUGAGCAUUCAGCAGGCUCAGGCAGCCCCAGACCAGUUCGUCCUGUACUUUGUGAUGGAUCUCCUGAAGGGCCUGCCGGGCCUGCCAGGGCUCUUCAUUGCCUGCCUCUUCAGCGGCUCUCUCAGCACUAUAUCCUCUGCUUUUAAUUCAUUGGCGACUGUUACGAUGGAAGACCUGAUUCGACCUUGGUUCCCUGAGUUCUCUGAAGCCCGGGCCAUCAUGCUUUCCAGAGGCCUUGGUGGGGUUAUGCUUCCUCAUCUCUUCAGUCUGGGUCUUUCUAAGCUUCACCCUGACCGUUGUCAUCAGUCUACUGUAAAACACCCACUUUAUCCGGGGCUCAGCACUUGCCUAAUGAUGCACACAACCUUCCCUGCAUGCAUGGUUGUUUACAUCUCAGGGCAUGUCUUAGGGAGGUCUCUGAGUCACAUAGGAGUGAGGAAUUGGUGGGAGGAAGCUGGGACAUGAUGUAAUAUGCCUUUUGUUUCCAGAGAGACAGAGGUGGUAGUUUGGCUGGGCAGGGAGCCUUGCUUUACCCCAUUGCUUGUGUUAACUCACACCUUCUUGUUUCCUCUCCUGUCCUUUUCCCCCAGCCUUUGGCUAUGGGCUGCUUUGUCUAGGAAUGGCCUAUAUUUCCUCCCAGAUGGGACCUGUACUGCAGGCAGCAAUCAGCAUCUUUGGCAUGGUUGGGGGACCGCUGCUGGGACUCUUCUGCCUUGGAAUGUUCUUUCCAUGUGCCAACCCUCCUGGUGCUGUUGUGGGCCUGUUGGCUGGACUCGUCAUGGCCUUCUGGAUCGGCAUCGGGAGCAUCGUGACCAGCAUGGGCUCCAGCAUGCCACCCUCUCCCUCUAAUGGGUCCAGCUUCUCCCUGCCCACCAAUCUAACCGUUGCCACUGUGACCACACUGAUGCCCUUGACUACCUUCUCCAAGCCCACAGGGCUGCGGCGGUUCUAUUCCUUGUCUUACUUAUGGUACAGUGCUCACAACUCCACCACAGUCAUUGUGGUGGGCUUGAUUGUCAGUCUACUCACUGGGAGAAUGCAAGGCCGGUCCCUGAACCCUGCGACCAUUUACCCAGUGUUGCCGAAGCUCCUGGCCCUCCUGCCCUUGUCCUGUCAGAAGCGGCUCCACUGCAGGAGCUAUGGCCAGGACCACCUCAUGGACACUGGCCUGUUUCCUGAGAAGCCGAGGAAUGGUGUGCUGGGGGACAGCAGAGACAAGGAGGCCAUGGCCCUGAAUGGCACAGCCUAUCAGGGGAGCAGCUCCACCUGCAUCCUCCAGGAGACCUCCCUGUGAUGUUGACUCAGAACCCCACCUCUGUCCUCACUGUGCCAGGCCAUAGCCAGACGCCACCCUGUAGUACAGGGAUGAGUCUUGGUGUGUUCUGCAGGGACAGGCCUGGAUGAUCUAGCUCAUACCAAAGGAACUUGUUCUGAGAGGUUCUUGCCUGCAGGAGAAGCUGUCACAUCUCAAGCAUGUGAGGCACCGUUUUUCUCGUUGCUUGCCAAUCUGUUUUUUAAAGGAUCAGGCUCGUAGGGAGCAGGAUCAUGCCAGAAAUAGGGAUAGAAGUACAUCCUCUGGGAAAAAGAUAAUGGCUUCUGAUUCAACAUAGCCAGAGUCCUUUGAAAGCAAGCACGUUUUCCACCUCACUGUCUCCAUCCUCCACCUCUGAGAUGGACACUUAGAGAGGGGGCAAAUGUGGAUCCAAGAAACCAGGGCCAUGACCGGGUCCACUGUGGAGCAGCCAUCUAUCUACCCGACUCCUGAGCCAGGCUGCCAUGGUGUCAUGUCUGUCAUCCGUGCUCUGUUUCCUUUUGGAGUUACUUCUCCACAUAUCUUUGUUCCUGGGGAAUAAAAACUACCAUUGGACCUAG